rnacentral:lncRNA from 1 species
GUCCAGCUCCUAAUCUAGUUAUGUAAAUAAAUAGUUUCUAAUCUUCUUCAGGGGACUAUAUAUAAACAUUUCCUCAAUUUGGAUCACCUUUUAUUCCAGCUUCAGCAAAAUGAAGGUGGUUAUGGUUUUGCUGCUCCUCCCCUGGGCCAAGGCGAAGAAUUUCUUUAAUUUCUCAGGGACACUCAAAGAAAUGAAGGAUGUUCAUGCACUUUAUAUACUGCUUGUAUAUCCAUGAAAAAUGAAAGAAAAAGAUGGGAGUAGACCUCGUUUGGUUACUGGUGAGAAAGGGUGGUUGAGAAUUGAAUUGGGAUUUAAAUUCACGGGUGAGAGAAAACGGGAGUGCUGUGACUGUGAAGCUGACGAGAGAUUGAAUCAAUGUGAGUGAUGAUGAAUGGAACUCCCAAGCGUGGGUAUUUAUUAUUGUGGAAAAGAGACAGAGUGGUGAAUG